rnacentral:rRNA from 1 species
UACGGAGGAUGCAAGCGUUGUCCGGAAUUAUUGGGCGUAAAGAGCUCGUAGGCGGUUUGUCGCGUAUGCUGUGAAAACCUAAGGCUCAACCUUGGGCUUGCAGUGGGUACGGGCAGACUAGAGUGCGGUAGGGGUGACUGGAAUUCCUGGUGUAGCGGUGAAAUGCGCAGAUAUCAGGAGGAACACCGAUGGCGAAGGCAGGUCACUGGGCCGCAACUGACGCUGAGGAGCGAAAGCAUGGGGAGCGAACAGG